UCCCGAGAAGAGAGAUGUGCGACAGCAGUGAACCACUCAGAUACAGGGGUUGAGACUUAUGGCAAUAUCACUCGUCAAGGAAUGUUCACAACCUCCAACCAAUGGGCGGCUCGCCAGUCCAAACUCCACCGUUAUGUGCACAGGAGAGAGUUGAGACAGUUCACAAUCCAGGAAAAGGUUCACACUUCACUUGAUUCGUAUCCAGAACAGGCAACAUGCAGUAGAUGAACAUCAAACAGGACAUCACAAGGAAACAAACAAGGAGAGGAAAAAAAAAAAAAAAAACCUAGCCUUGAAAACACAAGGCAAAAAAA